rnacentral:lncRNA from 1 species
CCUUUCUCUUCCAGGAGAGGAGAUGGAAUUUUCCAAAGUUCCUGAGUUGACCUCUUCAGUGCCAGGCAUUGGCAUUGUGGAGAUGAACUAGGCAGGUACUCUCCCUCAAGUACUUCCCAGCCCAGAAGGGGACAGGACCACACCUGAGGACUAUCCUAAAGAUCUGAACAGUGGAGACAGAAUGAAGAGAGCUUGCUUGGACAGCUUUAUGUAGCAGAGCUGGUACAAGUGACUUAGGCCUUGAAGGCAUCACAUGAACGAGGACAGUGAGUCACUUGGGAUAUGGAGAGACGCAAGAGGAUCAGAAGUUUGAGGCCACCCUCAGGAACACAGCAAGUCUGAGGGCAGCCCGAGCCACACACGCUUCUUACCAAGAAAGGAUGAAGCCAAUGUUCCCACUCUAUCCUAAAAUAGGCUGCCAAGCACACCCAAGAAUGUGUCCUGUGACCCCACACUAGAAGACCUUGACACUCAGUAUGAUCGCAUCACGAAGCCUGAUCUAUACCCAAGGGUGGGAACCGCAUCACUGUGGUCUCUACCCAUCAUGGAGACCCUCUCACUCACUCACUCGCCCACUCACUCACAGUGUGACCUUGGGAAGCCACUGAACUGAUCUAGUCUCUCUCCCAUAAAAUGGACUAAUGGUUGCAUCUCCCCCGAGAGCUUGGCAGAAGGGUUAAAAUUAAUAUGUACUGAAUGCUAUUGAUUAUAUAAAGUUAUUAUAUGUGAAGGACAUGUAACUGUGGCUGAUACUUGCUGGACACAAUGUAAAGAUUUAUUAGAUAAGUUAGUCAUGGCUUGGAUGUACACAAGAUGAAGCUAGAGGCUCAGGGUCCUAUAUAGCAGGGGCUUUAAGUCCGAUGCUCUGACUCCCAGUAGAUCCUCUCUCUGACUUAGGGCCUGGCUAGUGGAGGAGAGGAUACAGUGAUGUCAUCUCCUGCCCAUCAGUAGAUCUGACCUCAGUUUCUUCAGUGGCAAUGGAAGGUAUGUAAGAAAACCAGCCUUACUUGACGUGUUAUAAAACAGUAACUAAGUUAACUGAGCUCCUACCAUGUCAUGUGUCAGGCAGGCCCUCUGCUAAGUGCUUUACUGUCACAGGAUCACUUCAUGAAACCCUUACAAGUUUAGAGGUGGGUAUUCUGUUCUAUAGAGGAUCAGGGAGGUGAAAAGAAAAACAAAAAUCCUGUCCAACAUCACAAAGCUAAUAAGGGAUGAGCUAGAAUCUGAAUUAAGGUCUGCCUAAACCUACAACCAAAGAUGAUGAUGUCCUUGAAGCCAUUGUACUUAGGGGUGGGUCAAUAAAGAGGGUGCUGGCCUGAGCUCUACCUACCCACUCCAGGUUUAGCCACCAAACAGCCUUCCGCUAGAUAUCAGCUUGGCCCAGGAACUGAGUGAUGGCAAAGACAGAAAAGUGACUGUUGGGAUGAGGGGACCCUGGAAGGAGGUAGCAGGGCACCAGCCUGAGACUGGAUGUCCAGAUGUGAAGAAGGG